rnacentral:rRNA from 1 species
UACAGAGGUGGCAAGCGUUGUUCGGAAUUACUGGGCGUAAAGGGCUUGUAGGUGGCCAACUAAGUCAGACGUGAAAUCCCUCGGCUUAACCGGGGAACUGCGUCUGAUACUGGAUGGCUAGAGAUUGGGAGAGGGAUGCGGAAUUCCAGGUGUAGCGGUGAAAUGCGUAGAUAUCUGGAGGAACACCGGUGGCGAAGGCGGCAUCCUGGACCAACACUGACACUGAAAAGCGAAAGCCAGGGGAGCGAAACGGG